rnacentral:rRNA from 1 species
AACGAACGCUGGCGGCAGGCUUAACACACGCAAGUCGAACGCCCCGCAAGGGGAGUGGCAGACGGGUGAGUAACGCGUGGGAAUCUACCCAUCCCUACGGAACAACUCCGGGAAACUGGAGCUAAUACCGUAUACGCCCUUAGGGGGAAAGAUUUAUCGGGGAUGGAUGAGCCCGCGUUGGAUUAGCUAGUUGGUGGGGUAAAGGCCUACCAAGGCGGCGAUCCAUAGCUGGUCUGAGAGGAUGAUCAGCCACAUUGGGACUGAGACACGGCCCAAACUCCUACGGGAGGCAGCAGUGGGGAAUAUUGGACAAUGGGCGCAAGCCUGAUCCAGCCAUGCCGCGUGAGUGGUGAAGGCCUUAGGGUUGUAAAGCUCUUUCACCGAUGAAGAUAAUGACGGUAGUCGGAGAAGAAGCCCCGGCUAACUUCGUGCCAGCCGCCGCCGUAAUAC